GUCGAACGGCAGCAUGAUCUAGCUUGCUAGAUUGAUGGCGAGUGGCGAACGGGUGAGUAAUACAUCGGAACGUGCCCUGUAGUGGGGGAUAACUAGUCGAAAGAUUAGCUAAUACCGCAUACGACCUGAGGGUGAAAGUGGGGGACCGCAAGGCCUCAUGCUAUAGGAGCGGCCGAUGUCUGAUUAGCUAGUUGGUGAGGUAAAGGCUCACCAAGGCGACGAUCAGUAGCUGGUCUGAGAGGACGAUCAGCCACACUGGGACUGAGACACGGCCCAGACUCCUACGGGAGGCAGCAGUGGGGAAUUUUGGACAAUGGGCGAAAGCCUGAUCCAGCAAUGCCGCGUGUGUGAAGAAGGCCUUCGGGUUGUAAAGCACAUUUGUCCGGAAAGAAAUGGCUCUGGUUAAUACCUGGGGUCGAUGACGGUACCGGAAGAAUAAGGACCGGCUAACUACGUGCCAGCAGCCGCGGUAAUACGUAGGGUCCAAGCGUUAAUCGGAAUUACUGGGCGUAAAGCGUGCGCAGGCGGUUGUG
rnacentral:rRNA from 1 species